GAGUUAUGGCGCAUUCGACCCCAUUCAUAUAAGAAAUUGGAUUUCUAGAUAUCAGCCAAGAAGCAAGGACAGUAUCUGCAACCUUAAUGUUUCCAGCAACAUUAAAUGUUUAGAAGGUUGUAUGUGGGUUUGGCAAUGUUUGCUGGUAGAUAUACGACAAUGAUUGAAACAAUAACGAAUGCAGCACCCUUCCGUGAUGAUAACAACGAAGACCAUUGUAGGAACUUCACAGACCUUGUUGCUUUAGAUCAACGAAAGCAUCAUCGGAUAUGUGUUUGUCUAAC